CUCAGGAUGAACGCUAGCUACAGGCUUUAACACAUGCAAGUCGAGGGGAAACGAUAUUGGAAGCUUGCUUUUUCUAGGCGUCGACCGGCGCACGGGUGAGUAACGCGUAUCCAACCUGCCCUUUACGCGGGGAUAGCCUUCUGAAAGGAAGUUUAAUACCCGAUGAAUUCGUUUAGUCGCAUGGCUUGAUGAAGAAAGAUUUAUCAGUAAAGGAUGGGGAUGCGUCCCAUUAGCUGGUUGGUGGGGUAACGGCCCACCAAGGCGACGAUCAGUAGGGGUUCUGAGAGGAAGGGCCCCCACAUUGGAACUGAGACACGGUCCAAACUCCUACGGGAGGCAGCAGUGAGGAAUAUUGGUCAAUGGACGAGAGUCUGAACCAGCCAAGUAGCGUGCAGGAUGACGGCCCUAUGGGUUGUAAACUGCUUUUAUAAGGGAAUAAAGUGAGUCUCGUGAGGCUUUUUGCAUGUACCUUAUGAAUAAGGACCGGCUAAUUCCGUG
rnacentral:rRNA from 1 species